rnacentral:rRNA from 1 species
CUGCCUGGUAGUGGGGGAUAACGUCCGGAAACGGACGCUAAUACCGCAUACGUCCUACGGGAGAAAGCAGGGGACCUUCGGGCCUUGCGCUAUCAGAUGAGCCUAGGUCGGAUUAGCUAGUUGGUGGGGUAAUGGCUCACCAAGGCGACGAUCCGUAACUGGUCUGAGAGGAUGAUCAGUCACACUGGAACUGAGACACGGUCCAGACUCCUACGGGAGGCAGCAGUGGGGAAUAUUGGACAAUGGGCGAAAGCCUGAUCCAGCCAUGCCGCGUGUGUGAAGAAGGUCUUCGGAUUGUAAAGCACUUUAAGUUGGGAGGAAGGGCAGUAAAUUAAUACUUUGCUGUUUUGACGUUACCGACAGAAUAAGCACCGGCUAACUCUGUGCCAGCAGCCGCGGUAAUACAGAGGGUGCAAGCGUUAAUCGGAAUUACUGGGCGUAAAGCGCGCGUAGGUGGUUCGUUAAGUUGGAUGUGAAAUCCCCGGGCUCAACCUGGGAAACUGCAUUCAAAACUGACGAGCUAGAGUAUGGUAGAGGGUGGUGGAAUUUCCUGUGUAGCGGUGAAAAUGCGUAAAUAUAGGAAGGAACACAGUGGCGAAGG